rnacentral:piRNA from 1 species
UAGUAAAGCCUUUAUGGGAAGGACCCUUA